GCCUGGCUGGCUCAUUAAGUAGAGCACCUGACUCUUGAACUCAGGGUCGUGAGUUCGAGCCCCAUGUUGGGUG
rnacentral:tRNA from 1 species